CACAUGUUAUGAAUGAGCCAUGAAUGGCGCACCGCGCGGGACACGAACGGAUAAAAUGGACGCGAGGAGACAAACAUCCUUGAGGAGGUCAGAGUAUUGAGAUACCUGUAAGAUGAUAGAGCAAGGAAUGACCGAUGUGAGGGCAGCAUCACCGGAGAAAGAGCACAACCUGAAAGAGGAAGCAGGGGCAAGAGAAAAACAAGUUCCAGUGAGGACCCUGGUGACAGCGACCUGACAGUGAUGAGGAACAAGAACAGCAGGUGGAAAACACAGUCACUUUCAUCAUCUCUUUGGAAACCAACUUUUGCUGGUGUUAAAGGCGUUGGCAGUGUGGUUGGUCCCUGAAAGUGGGUGAAUCAUCUUCUGGUAAUCCUGCCCUGAUAUGGGAAGGUGAAAGCAGUGUGGUUGGUCCCCUUCCUGUGGGCUCAUCUCCUGGCAUCACUGUGUGGUUGGUCCCCUUCCUGUGGGCUCAUCUUAUGGCAUCACUGUGUGGUUGGUCCCCUUCCUGUGGGCUCAUCUUCUGGCAUCA